AUUGAACGCUGGCGGAAGGCCUAACACAUGCAAGUCGAACGAGUGGCGGACGGGUGAGUAAUGUCUGGGAAACUGCCCGAUGGAGGGGGAUCACUACUGGAAAAGGUAGCUAAUACCGCAUACCAUCGGAUGUGCCCAGAUGGGAUUGGCUAUUAGGUGGGGUAACGGGUCACCUAGGCGACGAUCCCUAGCUGGUCUGAGAGGAAGACCAGUCACCCUGGAACUGAGCCAUGGUCCAGACUCCUACGGGAGGCAGCAGGGGGGAAUAUUGCACAAUUGGUGCAAGCCUGAUGCAGCCAGGACGCGUGUAUGAAGGAGGCCUUCGGGUUGUAAAGUACUUUCAGCGAGGAGGCGUUACUCGCAGAAGAAGCACCGGCUAACUCCGUGCCAGCAGCCGCGGUAAUAC
rnacentral:rRNA from 1 species